AGUGCCGCUCUUAGAGGGUCCGGGCUCAGAGGGGCCAUGAUUCGGAGGGUUCUGCCGCACGGCUUGGGCCGGGGCCUCUUGACCCGGAAGCCAGGCACGCGCAGAGGAGGCUUUUCUCUGGUAUUCACAGGCCUCCACUGGGCUCUCAGUAGGUGGGAUUUGUCAGCAGUUCUCAUUGCCUGAGAACAUCCAGCUCUCCCUCUUUUCAGCCAGCUUUCUACGGAAUAUCAAUGAGUACCUGGCCGUAGUCGAUGCCCCUCCCUUGGACCUCCGGUUCAGCCCCUCAGGCUACCUCUUGCUGGCUUCAGAAAAGGAUGCUGCAGCCAUGGAGAGCAACGUGAAAGUGCAGAGGGAUGGAGGACGAAGGUUGGUUUGACCCCUGGUGUCUGCUCCAGGGCCUUCGGCGAAAGGUCCAGUCCUUGGGAGUCCUUUUCUGCCAGGGAGAGGUGACACGUUUUGUCUCUUCAUCUCAACGCAUGUUGACCACAGAUGACAAAGCGGUGGUCUUGAAAAGGAUCCAUAAAGUCCACGUGAAGAUGGACUGCAGCCUGGAGUACCAGCCUGUGGAAUGCGCCAUUGUGGUCAACGCAGCCGGAGCCUGGUCUGCGCAAAUCGCAGCGCUGGCUGGUAUUGGAGAGGGGCCACCUGGCACCCUGCAGGGCACCAAGCUACCUGUGGAGCCGAGGAAAAGGUAUGUGUAUGUAUGGCACUGCCCCCAGGGACCAGGCCUAGAGACUCCGCUUGUUGCAGACACCAGUGGAGCCUAUUUUCGCCGGGAAGGAUUAGGUAGCAACUACCUAGGUGGUCGUAGCCCCACUGAGGGAUUGUUAAACAAGUCUGUGUCUGUCCUUGUGUCCCAGGCAAUGUAAGCCUUGUCCCCACCUCUCACUCCAGCAGGAAGAACCGGACCCAGCGAACCUGGAAGUGGACCAUGAUUUCUUCCAGGACAAGGUGUGGCCCCAUUUGGCCCUGAGGAUCCCAGCUUUUGAGACUCUGAAGGUUCAGAGCGCCUGGGCCAGCUAUUACGACUACAACACCUUUGACCAGAAUGGCGUGGUGGGCCCCCACCCGCUAGUUGCCAACAUGUACUUUGCUACUGGCUUCAGUGGUCACGGGCUCCAGCAGGCCCCUGGCGUUGGGCGAGCUGUAGCAGAGAUGAUACUGAAGGGCAGGUUCCAGACCAUCGACCUGAGCCCCUUCCUCUUUACCCGCUUUUACUUGGGAGAGA
rnacentral:sRNA from 1 species